GGCAGCAGUGGGGAAUAUUGCACAAUGGGCGCAAGCCUGAUGCAGCCAUGCCGCGUGUAUGAAGAAGGCCUUCGGGUUGUAAAGUACUUUCAGCAGUGAGGAAGGUGGGUAUGUUAAUAGCAUACUCAUUUGACGUUAGCUGCAGAAGAAGCACCGGCUAACUCCGUGCCAGCAGCCGCGGUAAUACGGAGGGUGCGAGCGUUAAUCGGAAUUACUGGGCGUAAAGCGCAUGCAGGUGGUUUGUUAAGUCAGAUGUGAAAGCCCCGGGGCUCAACCUCGGAAUUGCAUUUGAAACUGGCAAACUAGAGUACUGUAGAGGGGGUAGAAUUUCAGGUGUAGCGGUGAAAUGCGUAGAGAUCUGAAGGAAUACCGGUGGCGAAGGCGGCCCCCUGGACAGAUACUGACACUCAGAUGCGAAAGCGUGGGGAGCAAACAGGAUUAGAUACCCUUGUAG
rnacentral:rRNA from 1 species